GAGGUUGUGGCUCAGCGGUAGAGCACUCACCUAGCAUGUGCAAAGUGCUGGGUUCGAUCCUCAGCACCACA
rnacentral:tRNA from 1 species